UGUGUAUUGUGGUACAUGCGCAUGAGAGUAGUCUGAGAAGAGGGUGUGUGGAACUGAUGAAAUCCUGUCACAUGUUGUGUCAUUACAGACUCACUCAGUAAAACAAAGAUCCAAAGAGAGCUGUGGUGUCGUGGUGAUUUUGUGGUGUGUCAUGAAACCGCUACACAGGUGGUUGAUUGAACUG